rnacentral:rRNA from 1 species
AGGGCACCACCAGGAGUGGAGCCUGCGGCUUAAUUUGACUCAACACGGGGAAACUUACCCGGCCUGGACACUGGAAGGAUUGACAGAUUGAGAGCUCUUUCUUGAUUCAGUGGGUGGUGGUGCAUGGCCGUUCUUAGUUGGUGGAGCGAUUUGUCUGGUUAAUUCCGAUAACGAACGAGACUCUAGCCUAUUAAAUAGGCUCUCGGCUUUUAAACGCCGGGAGGACUUCUUAGAGGGACAGGUGGCGGUUCAGCCGCACGAAAGAGAGCAAUAACAGGUCUGUGAUGCCCUUAGAUGUUCGGGGCCGCACGCGCGCUACACUGAAGGAAUCAGCGUGUGUUCUUCCUGAUCCGUAAGGACUGGGUAACCCGUUGAACCUCCUUCGUGCUAGGGAUUGGAGCUUGCAAUUAUUCUCCAUGAACGAGGAAUUCCCAGUAAGCGCGAGUCAUAAGCUCGCGUUGAUUACGUCCCUGCCCUUUGUACACACCGCCCGUCGCUACUACCGAUUGGAUGGAUUAG